rnacentral:rRNA from 1 species
CCUACGGGAGGCAGCAGUAGGGAAUAUUGCUCAAUGGGGGAAACCCUGAAGCAGCAACGCCGCGUGGAGGAUGAAGGUUUUCGGAUUGUAAACUCCUUUUGUUAGAGAAGAUAAUGACGGUAUCUAACGAAUAAGCACCGGCUAACUCCGUGCCAGCAGCCGCGGUAAUACGGAGGGUGCAAGCGUUACUCGGAAUCACUGGGCGUAAAGAGCGCGUAGGCGGGGUAGCGAGUCAGAUGUUAAAUCCUAUGGCUUAACCAUAGAACUGCAUUUGAAACUGUUAUUCUAGAGUGUGGGAGAGGUAGGCGGAAUUCUUGGUGUAGGGGUGAAAUCCGUAGAGAUCAAGAGGAAUACUGAUUGCGAAGGCGGCCUGCUAGAACAUAACUGACGCUGAUGCGCGAAAGCGUGGGGAGCAAACAGGAUUAGAUACCCGGGUAGUC